rnacentral:rRNA from 1 species
AGAGUUUGAUCCUGGCUCAGGAUGAACGCUGGCGGCGUGCUUAACACAUGUAAGUCGAACGGACGCUUUGGGUAACUGGAGCGUUAGUGGCAGACGGGUGCGUAACACGUGGGCGACCUACCCCAGAGUGGGGAACAACAGACCGAAAGGUUUGCUAAUACCGCAUACGCUCGGCGAUUCAAUUUGUCGAGUAAAGCCGAAAGGCGCUUUGGGAGGGGCCCGCGGCCCAUCAGGUAGUUGGUGAGGUAACGGCCCACCAAGCCGAUGACGGGUAGCUGGUCUGAGAGGACGAUCAGCCACACUGGCACUGAGAUACGGGCCAGACUCCUACGGGAGGCAGCAGUGAGGAAUAUUGCGCAAUGGAGGAAACUCUGACACAGCGACGCCGCGUGGGCGACGAAGGCCUUCGGGUCGUAAAGCCCUUUUGGCAGGGACGAGUGAGGACGGUACCUGUCGAAUAAGUCUCGGCUAACUACGUGCCAGCAGCCGCGGUAAAACGUAGGAGGCGUGCGUUAUCCGGAUUCACUGGGCGUAAAGCGCGCGUAGGCUGUCGAGUAAGUCGGACGUGAAAGCCCCUGGCUCAACUGGGGGAGGUCGUUCGAUACUGCUCGGCUUGAGGGUAAGAGGGGGAAGUGGAAUUCCCGGUGUAGCGGUGGAAUGCGUAGAGAUCGGGAGGAACACCAGUGGCGAAGGCGGCUUCCUGGCUUACCCCUGACGCUGAUAGCGCGAAAGCGAGGGGAGCAAACGGGAUUAGAUACCCCGGUAGUCCACGCUAUAAACGAUGAGGGCUGGGUGUUGGUGGGAUUUCCCAUCAGUGCCGAAGCUAACGCGUUAAGCCCUCCGCCUGGGGACUACGAACGCAAGUUUAAAACUCAAAGGAAUUGACGGGGGCCCGCACAAGCAGCGGAGCGUGUGGUUCAAUUCGAUUCAACACGAAGAACCUUACCAGGGUUUGACAUGCAAGUGGUAGGGAGGGGAAACCGGACCGACCCGCAAGGGAGCUUGCACAGGUGCUGCAUGGCUGUCGUCAGCUCGUGCCGUGAGGUGUUGGGUUAAGUCCCGCAACGAGCGCAACACCUUUCGUUAGUUACAUGUGUCUAGCGAGACUGCCGGAUUAACUCCGGAGGAAGGCGGGGAUGACGUCAAGUCAGCAUGGCCUUUAUAUCCUGGGCUACACACACGCUACAAUGGGUGUUACAAUGCGUUGCCAAGCCGCGAGGCGGAGCUAAUCGCACAAAAGCAUCCUCAGUUCAGAUCGCAGGCUGCAACUCGCCUGCGUGAAGUCGGAGUUGCUAGUAAACGCGCGUCAGCUAUAGUGCGUUGAAUCGUUCCCGGGCCUUGUACACACCGCCCGUCACGUCAUGGGAGCUGGUAACACCUGAAGUCGGUGACCUAACCGCAAGGAAGGAGCCGCCGAGGGUGGGACUGGUAACUGGGACGAAGUCGUAACAAGGUA